GAUGAACGCUGGCGGCGUGCCUAAUACAUGCAAGUCGAGCGAACAGACGAGGAGCUUGCUCCUCUGACGUUAGCGGCGGACGGGUGAGUAACACGUGGAUAACCUACCUAUAAGACUGGGAUAACUUCGGGAAACCGGAGCUAAUACCGGAUAACAUGUUGAACCGCAUGGUUCAACAGUGAAAGACGGUUUUGCUGUCACUUAUAGAUGGAUCCGCGUCGCAUUAGCUAGUUGGUAAGGUAACGGCUUACCAAGGCAACGAUGCGUAGCCGACCUGAGAGGGUGAUCGGCCACACUGGAACUGAGACACGGUCCAGACUCCUACGGGAGGCAGCAGUAGGGAAUCUUCCGCAAUGGGCGAAAGCCUGACGGAGCAACGCCGCGUGAGUGAAGAAGGUCUUCGGAUCGUAAAACUCUGUUAUUAGGGAAGAACAAAUGUGUAAGUAACUAUGUACGUCUUGACGGUACCUAAUCAGAAAGCCACGGCUAACUACGUG
rnacentral:rRNA from 1 species